rnacentral:lncRNA from 1 species
AUCUCACCACCCUCCUUUCCACCCAUUUCAAGCUCAGAAUAGAUUGUAGAUAACUGAUAUCGGUGAUGACUACAAUUGGACUUGCCACAUCCAAAAACAGUAAGUUCAUUUCUUUUGAUACUUUUAGUCAUUCGCGAGCUCAUGCGUCGCUGUAAAUUAAAUUUUAUACUUUGGUUAUCUGUAUUAUAGUAUGAAUGAAUCUAUUUUGCUUUUACGCUGUAAAAAUUAUUUACGCAGUGUUCUAAAAAUAUUGUUUUAUAAGAAAAUAGAAUAUUUUGCUUAAUAUUUCUUUUAUUUUCUUAUUAUAUCCAAAUAAUCAUAAUUUCGUUUUAAAUGAAGACUUUAGACUUUUAAACUCAUUUUGAGUAUGAACUAUGUGUUUUGUACUUGUAAAUUACAAUUUUUGCCAGUUUCGAAAUAUUUGAGAAAAAUGACCAAUAUAUCCCUGUGGGACGAAAAUUAUUAUUUUAUUUAUUUUAAGUUGAAAAUAGCUUAAAAUCUCUUAAAACGUGAUAUUUGGCAACGGUUACUCACAGGGGAAAUGAGAAGCUGAUAUUAAAGCCUUGCGAGAUUUCGGUUGACAUUCCGGGUAAUGAAUGUCGAUCGGGACGUCGCAGCGGUUGUCACAGGCUCCAUGGGAUUUCCGGGUCGUGACAAGUGAAAUCCGUAAAAGUUGUAUGCAAAAGGAUUUUUAACAACACAAGUUAAAGAAAAAAGUUCAAAGGAAGAUUUGAUUUCAAUUGCAACCACAGAAAUAAUUAACAAAGCAAUGAAGAUAACAUUAUCCUAACUCUUAUUUAAUCUUUCUUGUUAAACUUUUUUAUAUUUUACUAAUCUUUGAGCAAAAAUUAUAUAUCAAUCACUGAAUUAAAUAUUUAAAUGCAUGAUAUAAAUUUUUGUUACAUUAGCAAAAUUUUAAAAUUUAAAUAUUAGUAUAAAAUUAUUAUAAAAAGUAAUUAUUAUUAAAUGCUUAAUUUUAUUACUAAAUUGUUAAAAGAGAGUUGAGGUUUGAGGAUGGAAGCUACUUUUUUAGCCACUUAGCCUUUUCUAUAUGUAACAAAAGAAGAUGUAAAAUAUGGACUCAAAUGUGUUUCUUGUGAGGCCAUCUUGUUUUUUAUGGUACUGUUGGAUCAUAUUAACCUCAAAGCUUUUGUACAGUUUUAAUU